UACCAGCACCCCGAGUGGUCGGGACGAUUAUUGGGCCUAAAGCAUCCGUAGCCGGUUCUGCAAGUCUCCCGUUAAAUCCAACUGCUCAACAGGUGGGCUGCGGAGGAUACUACAGAGCUAGGAGGCAGGAGAGGCAAGCGGUACUCAGUGGGUAGGGGUAAAAUCCGUUGAUCCAUUGAAGACCACCAGUGGCGAAGGCGGCUUGCCAGAAUGCGCUCGACGGUGAGGGAUGAAAGCUGGGGGAGCAAACCGGAUUAGAUACCCGGGUAGUCCCAGCCGUAAACGAUGCAGACUCGGUGAUGGGUUGGCUUCGCGCUAACCCAGUGCCGCAGGGAAGCCGUUAAGUCUGCCGCCUGGGUAGUACGGUCGCAAGACUGAA
rnacentral:rRNA from 1 species